AUCCCUGGGCCUGGGCCUACCUAGGUGAAGACAGGCAUUUUUGUUUUCCUGCCCGGAUGUUGCAUUUCCCAAGACCACCCUGGCCUGCCAUGCCCUCAUCCUGUGCCUUUAAAAACCCCCGAGACCCUGGCAGGCAGACGCACAAGCAGCUGGACAUUGAGAGGAGCAUAUAGGCAGAGAAUACAGGGGCUGCUGGAUGUCGAAAGGAACGCACCAGCAUAGGAGCACACCGGCAUGCUGGCAGGCCAUUGACCAGCGGAAGAAUGCAGAGUUUGUCGCGGGAGGUCAGAGAAGAGUCAGGCCGCCAUACCUGACUCCAGGAGAAAACCGUCUCCCUUCUGGUUCCCCCGUCUGCCGAGAGCUACUUCCACUCAAUAAAACUUUCCACUCAUUCUUCAAGCCCACGUGUGAUCCAAUUCUUCCCGUACACCAAGUGCUGGUAAUGAUGUAUACCUGGCAGCUGACCGUCAAAUCUUAUGAAGGAUUAAAACAUAAAGUUUGCAUUAAAGGUCAAAACAGUCACAAGCCUGCUCAAAUUCGGAAAGAGGGGACGGAAAUGGAACCUCUUCAUGGGAGGAAGAAACAGGGUCUUGCUCUGUUGCCCUGGCUGGAGUGCAAUGGUAUGAUCAUAGCUCACAGUAGCCUUGAACUCCUGGGCCCAAGCCAUCCUCCUACCUCAGCAACCAGAGUAGCUGGGAUUACAGGCGAAUGCCACCACACCUGGAAUUGGAAAAAUGAAUGUAAUUUGACAUAUGUCUUGAGUCUGGUUGGCUUCUGAGGAACUUGUGUGCAUCUCAUCAGUAUGCAUCUUAAGAACUGAAAUGACCCUACUUCAGCAUUGUGAAAUUACAUAAAGAUAAAAGGGGAUGCACUGAACCUGAUGGUACUUUCCUGUACAAUUGAGAAAAGGUGAAAUAAGCAGAAGACCAAGGGAUGCAUUGGGAGGAGGAGAACCAGGAGGAGGACCACGUAAUGGAAGCCAAGUGAAGACAGUGUUUCCCAGUGCUGGCAAGGAGCAGGCUCCAUGCAUGCAUUUGGGCUCUGUGGAAAAUCUAGCCAGGGAUGCGGGCCUUUCUGAACGCCGCUUUCAUUGUGCCCCCUGCAGCAUUAUCUCUUCGAUGCGAUGUCCCUGCUGACUGAAAUGCAGAGAAGCUACUAAGAUCCACACACCAGUUGCUGCAAUCGGUGCCCUGCUCUUUGUCCCCCAUUCACCCCAGGUGAUUCAGCUCUUCUGGCACUCCCAGUGAUUCCUGUGGGACAGGCCCAGAGUGGACUUCCCACGAAGAUUCCCAGACUGGGGGAGAGCUCUAAGAUCCACUUCCAAUUCCUUUGUCUCACCUAGGAGACUCUGGGUUUAUGGAAGUUCUCUCUGAUUAGUGCUGUUGCAGCUGGGUUUGGGGGUCAUGUAGUCUAAAUGAUUGUUUCUCUUACUGGUGGUGAUUUUUCCAGUUUCUGUGGGCCCAGUGGAUUUCUCUGCUUCUCCUUAGAGUUCUGGUGAACUCAGAAUGUUAGUGUUAUUCUUUUCUUUGAAAAUAGUUUCCAUUUGUAAUUUGCUUGGAGAGUGAUUCUGGGGGAUUCUAUUCUGCCAUCUUGCUGCUGUCACUCUUUAAUAAGAUUUGUAACUAAUUCUCAAAUUGUUCAUAGUCUUAAAACUACAUAGAGUUGAUUUCAUACAUUUUAUUAUGAGAACAAUAAAAGUAUUUUGUGUCUUUGCUAGUGAGAUUUUUAGUUAUACAGAAAUUACAGUGUUUCCUGCUAUGUUCAAUCAUUCCAAGAUUCAUUAUACAUAUGUUAAAUAUGUUAUACAUUUGUUUACAUAAUGCAUAUUUUAUUUUUUUUCUGAGAUACCCAAAGCAUAAUCUCCCUCACUAUCCUGAAUAAUUAUAAAUUAGUAUUUCAUAUAUGAUAGAAAAUUUGUGACAUCCACUAUUUUUAAGAACGGCUAGGCUGGGCGUGGUGGCUCAUUCCUGUAAUCCCAGCACUUUGAGAGGCUGAGGUGGGCGGAUCACGUGAGUUCGGGAGUUCGAGACCAGCCUGACCAGCAUGGAGAAACCCCAUCUCUACUAAAAAUACAAAAUUAGCCGGGCGUGGUGGCACAUGCCUGUAUUCCCAGCUACUCGGGAGGCUGAAGCAGGAGAAUUGCUUGAACCCGGGAGGUGGAGGUUGCAGUGAGCCGACAUCAUGCCAUUGCACUCCAGCCUGGGCAGCAAGAGUGAAACUCUGUCUCGAAAAAAAAAAAAAAAAAAAAAGAAGAAUGGCUAAUUUCAGAACAUGUUUAUAUGUAUGUUGUAUUCAAUGUCUUUAAUUAAAGUCUGUUUCUUUAUCCUAAUUUGUG
rnacentral:lncRNA from 1 species